ACCAUGGGAAUCUGCCAGGGAAAGAGGCAGGCAGAGCCAGAGGCCAAGACAGUGAGAGCCAAAGUGAUCAGUGGGGACCAGGAUCCAGAUCAGUGAGAAGCACAGACCCAUGAACUGGCAGAGUUGAAGAAGAGAAUGCAGCUCAUGCCACAUUCAGUUCUCCAUGCGAACUUGACAGCUGAACUGGUCUACAACAAAAUUAAUGAGGGUCAGAAAGACCUCUUCUAGAAGCUGUCCUAUGGUAGUGGUGACCAGUGUCUGUUGAGCCCUCCAGGCCCUUUCUCCUGAGCCUGGGGAGCUGAAGGCAUCCUGAAGUAAAAGUGUCACUAAAAGCUGCAAUAAAAGGAAUAAUAGAGGUAACUUUCUGAAUGACACCAGUCUGGGUACAGUCCGAAGUCUGCGGAGAGAAAGAGAGAGAGGAACAAGAAAAGGAGAAGGAAGGCCAGGUGUGGUGGCUCACUCCUGUAAUCCCAGCAUUUUGGGAGGCCAAGGUGAGCAGAUCACUCGAGGUCAAGAGUUCAAGACCAGCCUGGCCAACAUGGUGAAACCCUGUCUCUACUAAAAAUUCAAAAAUUAGCUGGGCAUGGUGGUUGGUGCCGUAAUCCCAGCUACUUGGGAGGCUGAGGGAGCAGAAUCACUUGAUCCCCAGAGGUGGAGGUUGCAGUGAGCUGAGAUCAUACCACUGCAUCCCAGCCUGGGGAACAGAGUGAGACUCUGUCUCAAAAGAAAAAAAAAAAGAAUGGAAAAAGAAAAGGAGAAGGAAAGAAAAGGGAAGAGCUUCUCCACAACCAUUGGAUGGCCUCUCAUUGCUCUGAAGACAAAGACAAAACUCAGGGCUGUCCUCCAAGCCCUAUGUGAUCUGGUCCUGUCACCUGCCCAUGGCUCUGUUCUCCUCACUCUUCUCUAUCUCUCUAUUACCCAGCCAGACUCAUCAUGCUCUGCCCAGAGCCGGGCCUUUGCUGCUGCUUCUGCCUGGACCUCAUUUUCCUUCCCCUCUUUGCCUAGAUAAUGCCAUGUCAUCCUUCAGAUCUCAGCUCAAGAGUUACUUCCUCAGAAAGCCUUGCCUGAUUUCACCAUCUAAUUCAAAUGCUACUAGCAUCAGUUCUCAGGAUACCUGGUACCUCUUCUGGCUACAUUUGUCAUUGUUAACAAUUUUACAACUGUGUAAAAUUCGAUUGUCUUUCUUCCCCCACCAAGUUGUAAGCCCCUGAGGGCAAGAGCUGGAAAUAUUGUUGCUCACCACUGUGUCUUCAACAGUGUCUGGGGCAUACUAGGGUUUAAAAAGUAUUGAAUGAAUGAAUUAAUUAAUGAAGUUAGGACUCAACUCAGCUGGUCUCUGCCCAUUUCCAAAGCAUGUUUUCUUAACUAUUACGCGGGAAUGCGAAAGACUGCUAGCAGGGAAGAAUGAGCAAGGGAGUAUGUUGGGAGGCCAUAGAGCCUUGCAGGCACUGCUACUUACUAGCUGUGUGAACUUCUCAAAGCUUCAUCUGAAAAUGAGGAUAACACCUAUUUAUAGCAUUGCUAUAAGGAUUAUAUAAGAUGAUCCAUAGAAGUACUUAGCCUGGCACAUAGUAAGCACACAAUAAAAAGUAACUAAAACUAAUGUUGCAGGAUCUCCUCUUGACCUGAUACCUCCCAAAUAAACCGACCCCUUAUCUGAGAGAUUGUCCCUGUCUCUGUGUCUCUGUCUCUCUCUCCCUCUCUGAGACUC